CAAGAGUUAAGGGGCGGGCUUUUUUUCCCAGAGCAGAGCAGGCACAGCAAUCAAUUAAAUGGCAAUGCUGAGAAGCAGGACAUCUAUAUCGGGACUGUCCUGCUGAAAGCGGGACGGUUGGGAGGCACAAGAACCUCCAGCCAGAACUACAUCCUAUGUGAGUCUUAAUGCUCUGAUCCUAAAUACCCCUGCGACAGAGCAAGAUAGCUAUUCUGCUGUUUGCAAGAAAGAGAAAGUCACAUGAGUAGCAGAAAAUGGAUCGCCCCAUACAAGAACAACAAAUGAAAAAUAACCUUUACAUUAGUAAAGUGAAUCUUUUUUUCAAAAACAUUAUGCAAUUGAUUUAUGGCUAAGAUCCUAAUCAUAAUAACAGCAUUGUGUCAGACUGGCUACUGACCCUAUCUGAAGCAUAUUGUAAGUAGCAGCCCUGUCCUGCUUUAUGUUUUUAUUAAAAAAGGUCAAAUAACCCCUUUUUAUGCAAUAAAUCACAUUUGACAUUUAA